AGAGUUUGAUCCUGGCUCAGAACGAACGCUGGCGGCGCGCCUAAUACAUGCAAGUCGAGCGAGAAGGUGUAGCAAUACACUUGUAAAGCGGCGAACGGGUGAGGAAUACAUGGGUAAUCUACCAUCGAGUGGGGAAUAACCAGCCGAAAGGUUGGCUAAUACCGCGUACGCCUCCGAAUCUUCGGGUUCGGAGGGAAAGCCACACUGUGAGUGCGGCGCUCUUUGAUGAGCUCAUGUCCUAUCAGCUUGUUGGUAGGGUAACGGCCUACCAAGGCUUUGACGGGUAGCUGGUCUGAGAGGACGAUCAGCCACACUGGCACUGCGACACGGGCCAGACUCCUACGGGAGGCAGCAGUAAGGAAUAUUGCGCAAUGGGCGAAAGCCUGACGCAGCGACGCCGCGUGGGGGAUGAAGGUCUUCGGAUUGUAAACCCCUUUCGGGAGGGAAGAUGGAGCGAGCAAUCGUUCGGACGGUACCUCCAGAAGCAGCCACGGCCAACUUCGUGCCAGCAGCCGCGGUAAUACGAAGGUGGCAAGCGUUGUUCGGAUUCACUGGGCGUACAGGGUGUGUAGGCGGUUUGGUAAGCCUUCUGUUAAAGCUUCGGGCCCAACCCGGAAAGCGCAGAGGGUACUGCCAGGCUAGAGGGUGGGAGAGGAGCGCGGAAUUCCCGGUGUAGCGGUGAAAUGCGUAGAGAUCGGGAGGAAGGCCGGUGGCGAAGGCGGCGCUCUGGAACAUACCUGACGCUGAGACACGAAAGCGUGGGGAGCAAACAGGAUUAGAUACCCUGGUAGUCCACGCCCU
rnacentral:rRNA from 1 species